CACCCCGAGCUGUCAGGCGUUCCGCCGCGGCCGCGAGGCCCGCCGGCCGGCGGGGAGCUACGCCCGGACGGCCAGCAGGCCCGCGGGAGUGGGGCUGCCGCGGCUGAGGCGAGGCGGGCCGCGCGCGUCGGCGUCACAGCCCGCGGCAGAGGCGCCCAGGGCGGCCGGGCCCACGACGCCGAAAGCGCCGCUGCGGUUGCCGCCUCGGAGGCUCCCCCGGGCCCCGGCGGCUGGACCCGGCGCGGGCGGGAGGCUCGGGCGGGCGGUCCGGCCCGGGACUCGGGUUUGGGCGACCAGGAGGUGCCGGUGGCCGCGCUCGGACCCGGUGACUUAAGAGAUUAAAAUUAAUUUGGUUGCUGAUGGUUCUGAACAAAUAAUGAGUUCUUUUAUUUGAGGUAUGCCAUUUUGAAGACUGAGACAUUGGAGUUUUAUCCUAGAGGAUAAAGGAAAUCUUUGGCAAAGUCAGUAUUUUAUAUAGCAAAAAUAUGAACCUCAAACUGAAUCCUCUAAAGGCCCCAUACAAUGAAGUAGACAUUGGUGGAAGCAUUUACACCCAGUCAGCUUGAAGAGUUUCAAAUGGACCCUACCACUGAGAAAUCAAGAUGGCAGUCUACUAUGGGGAAUUGAGGAAAAUGGAUUAAUACAAGAGUCCUGUGAUAAUAUACAACCAAGACAGGGUUCUUUUAACAUGGAUUCCAUGCAGUGAAUGAAGACAUAGGUUUCUUACCCAACACAAAUGGACAGUGGAUUUGACUUUCUAAAGACUUUUUUUUGUGGACAUUUUGACAUUUGGAGAAGAAAG
rnacentral:lncRNA from 1 species